rnacentral:rRNA from 1 species
AACGAACGCUGGCGGCAUGCCUAACACAUGCAAGUCGAACGAAGCCUUCGGGCUUAGUGGCGCACGGGUGCGUAACGCGUGGGAAUCUGCCCUUGGGUUCGGGAUAACAGUUAGAAAUGACUGCUAAUACCGAAUGAUGUCUUCGGACCAAAGAUUUAUCGCCCAAGGAUGAGCCCGCGUCGGAUUAGCUAGUUGGUGAGGUAAAGGCUCACCAAGGCGACGAUCCGUAGCUGGUCUGAGAGGAUGAUCAGCCACACUGGGACUGAGACACGGCCCAGACUCCUACGGGAGGCAGCAGUGGGGAAUAUUGGACAAUGGGCGAAAGCCUGAUCCAGCAAUGCCGCGUGAGUGAUGAAGGCCUUAGGGUUGUAAAGCUCUUUUACCCGGGAUGAUAAUGACAGUACCGGGAGAAUAAGCCCCGGCUAACUCCGUGCCAGCAGCCGCGGUAAU